GUUAGCUUAACAAAUAAAAUUAACUUAGUUUUGGCUGGUUUAGGUAAAUAUGCACAACAUGUACCGUUUCUUUUUUAGCUAAAGGAAAUAUAGUUCUCCUACGGAUUGCGCAGUGUAAUGUACAAUUGCAAUAAAUUUGUUUUCUAGCAACGACCCUCUCUUUUUUCAUCUAUUUCAUCCGAGCAUUUAUAAUUUGGCAUGGCAACUUACUAAGUUUUGUAUUGAUGAGAGGCAUCCGCUGUCACGUGUUGAGGAACUUGAGAAUUGCGCUGUUUUAUUCCAUACAAAAAUAUUACGUUUUUUUUAAACAGUUCAUUUAAUAGUGCCGGAAGGCUUUUCGCCAAUUCUUAAAAGAAUACUAUGUCUACUGCUACCGAUUGACACUUGUUUUAUGAGAACAUUUUAAAAAUACCAUCAACAAUCAUUAUGGUAUCCAAUCAGCACGGUAAUGACCCUGUUUUUAAAUUUCCGCAUAUAUAUAAGGAUAAUAUAGAGUACUACCGAAUUAUGGUUUUUCUAUUCAGGAAUCAUUUUUUCGUUUUCAAAACAGAUUACUGUAAUGGAUCAAUUAAAACAAAAAGUCAUAACAUGGGCCAUUUUUUAUCAGACCCUAUAGUUCAGUUUUGCGGCCUAUACUUUAAGAAGUUCACUAAAUGAAACGGAGAGCUUCGUAUUUUUGAUUAAAAGACGGACCCGUUGUAUUCUGUUUUAGACCAUUGUUAUAUCAACUCCAGGCCGUCGAGUAGGGCGUUCCGAAAAACGGUUUUCUUUUAACUAAUUUAAGGGAAGUUCAUCCAGUCAAAGUCUGCGACGGUCGACCGCAGGCGCCCUAAAACUGCUGAAUAUUAGGUUUCGUUUGGCAGCGCAUCCUUCCGCUUAUUAGCCUAUCGCUCAUGGGGAAUACUCAAUGAAACACAAAAUUUUCUUGUUGCCGAAACAACGCAUCUGUAAGAGUCCGUUUUAGCGGAUUACUAUACCAACUUAAGGCAAUCGACUAAGAUCAACUCCAAUGAAAAGUUCCCAUCUUUUAUGUCUGAAGUGGGGCCUGUAUCCAUUAAAAAUGUUCGAGGGUUACUUUAUUCAGUUUAAAUUUUUUAAUAAAUAAUCUUAUCUCUUUACCAUCUUGAAUGGUCAACCAGCUAUAAAGGUUUUUUUUUGAAAAAUUGUAAUUUCAUUCUUUUUCUUUAAUAGGUUUCUAGAUAAUUAUGUAGUGGUUUUAUUUUUAAUUGCGACGUUUAGCCUUCGUUUUUAUUUUUCUUGUGUCGGUGUUUGCUCUAUUCCUUCGUCAAUCUAACGGACGGUUCACGUUUCAAUCUCAACUGAGAGGGCGGCUGGUUACAAUGCUUUUGACUUGUGUUGUUUCUCUUGUUACCUGAUUAAGCUUCUAAAAAAUUCACGGUUCACUUGGAAAAAUCUUUGAAAAUUUUAAAUGACGGCUUCUCUAAAGAGAACAUCAGUUUUUCGUGCAACGUUUAUUUGAGCACUGCAGUUCUGUUUGUGAAUUAACAAAGUUUUGCGUUGCAAUUCUAAAGUCUUAAAAUGGACAAGGCACUAUUUUGUAUGUUGUAGUUUAUACAUAGAAGCUGAUAUAAAAAUUUUUAAAACUAAAAAAAAGGAGCCAUGUUCUUUUUCAAUCUUAUUGUAAUAAUAUUUCUUGUAAUAGUAGUUUUGAAAAAUAAUGAAAAGUAAUAUCUUUCUAACCGAGUUGAACAAGGUUAUAAUAGCCUAGUAAGAUGAAGAAUUUUAAAUCUACGACGGACUGUUAACAAAUCAGAAAAUUGUAUCUUGUAUAAUAUGACGUGGAAGCGUGCGGAAUUUUCAAAAUCUUGAGCACAAAGGACCAAAACAACUGUUUUGAUCCAUGUGCUUAAUAUAAAAUUGUCGUUUUUUUUAAAUAAAAUUCAUGAGCCAAUAAUUGUUUUUUUUUUCCUUCGUAAAUAAAGACAAUAAUGCGGCUAUAGUUUUAUGUAGUUUAAUUUUUGAAAAACUAAAGCUUUAAAAUUAAUCAAAGUUUAAGACCUCCUGGACGUCCAGCAUCGAAUACUUUGAGUGGAUAAAGUCCCCAUUUAAGACAUAAAAGAUGGGAAUAUUUCUUCGGAGUGGGACCUAAUAACUGCCAUAAAUGGGUGUAGCAGUGUACUAAAACAGACUCCUAUGGGUGCGUUGCUUACGGAACGAGAAACUCUUGUUCUCAUUGAGUAUUCCCUUUAAUAAGUAGGCUUAUGAGGAGAAAUACGAUCCGGCAAACGAUGCCUUAUAUUUGUACAAGAUGCGAACGGUGCCAAGCGCACAUGCAAGAAUGCUUGGAAACUACAAAACGAAAGGAAAACGUCAUCGCGUCUCUCAACAUUGAGGGUAUCCUCAUUUUUUGCUUUGUUUCUUCUGAGUAUUGCCUUCCGAUCAGAGUAAUAAAUACCAAAAAGAUAACAACUGCCACUCGGGGGUGUGGAUAAAAAUAACUUCAUUUUACGCUUACCUAGCAUGCAAUUAAUCGUACUUGACAAAGCAUAGAAUAAAGAACAUCUAGGGAAUGCGAUAUUUUCCGUUGGUUUUGUUAAAGGCAGUUUAUAAGUUAAUAUUAAUCUUUGGAGUAUGGUACUAUGAGAGGUGCCGUUUCGCUGGUGUGAAUAUGUAUUAAGACGAUUGAACAAGUCAUGACAAAUGCUCACAAUAUGCAGUGCAAAACUGAAAACUACUCAGUAGUUGAGAAAUAUUAAAAGAGUUUUGUAAUAAAGAUUUGUGUAAAUAAAAAGUAACCUUAAGAUUUUGUAAAUCUAAAAUGACGGCAGAUUAACAAGAUAGAGACGUUUCGUUUUUUAAUUUACAAAGAAUAACGAUAGCUGACGAGGUGGAUUCUUUAAUCAAUUUGAUAGAUGAAGCAGAUAAACCGGAACUAUUUUCUUAUUUCAAAUUCAAAAAAUAAAGUAGAAAAACUAGUUAAGGAAUUCAUUACUUAGCGUUUAUUUUUUAGUACUGAAAUUCACUUCGAGAAAUGAUACGAAAACAAUUCACACACAUAAAACUAAUAUACCUAGAUUUGUCUAGGAAUUUAAUAUGUUUUGAAAGAAAAAUUUCUUGUUAUGGAUAAAACUAACGGAUCAUAAGACCAAAACAAGACUACUGCUUGAAUAAACCUGAGUAUGGAUCAAAAGAAAAAAAAAUAUCAAAGAGGCCACUUUACGAAAAUGAAGUAGAAUAAAGUCUAAAAGUGCAGGAUUUGG